AGAUGGGCAUGCGUAUGAUUAGCUAGUUGGUGAGGUAACGGCUCACCAAGGCAACGAUCAUUAGGGGUUCUGAGAGGAAGGUCCCCCACACUGGUACUGAGACACGGACCAGACUCCUACGGGAGGCAGCAGUGAGGAAUAUUGGUCAAUGGGCGAGAGCCUGAACCAGCCAAGUCGCGUGAAGGAAGAAGGUUCUAUGGAUUGUAAACUUCUUUUGUAAGGGAAUAAAAAGAGUUACGUGUAACUUAUUGUAUGUACUUUACGAAUAAGGAUCGGCUAACUCCGUGCCAGCAGCCGCGGUAAUACGGAGGAUCCAAGCGUUAUCCGGAUUUAUUGGGUUUAAAGGGUGCGUAGGCGGAAGAUUAAGUCAGUGGUGAAAGUUUGCAGCUCAACUGUAAAAUUGCCAUUGAAACUGAUUUUCUUGAGUGUAAAUGAGGUAGGCGGAAUGUGUUGUGUAGCGGUGAAAUGCUUAGAUAUAACACAGAACACCAAUUGCGAAGGCAGCUUACUGGGAUACAACUGACGCUGAGGCACGAAAGCGUGGGGAUCAAACAGGAUUAGAUACCCUGGUAGUCCACGCGGUAAACGAUGAAUACUAACUGUAUCGAUAUACUGUAUGCGGUACAGCGAAAGCGUUAA
rnacentral:rRNA from 1 species